UCCCGGGCUCCGCGCGACGAUGCGCGCCUUUAACCCCGCCAGGCCCGGAAGGGAGCAACGGUUAGGCGAGGCGUUGGGUGACGCGGUCGGUUCGGGGUUC
rnacentral:SRP_RNA from 1 species